rnacentral:rRNA from 1 species
AGUUUGAUCCUGGCUCAGAUUGAACGCUGGCGGCAGGCCUAACACAUGCAAGUCGAACGGUAACAGAGAGUAGCUUGCUACUUUGCUGACGAGUGGCGGACGGGUGAGUAAUGUCUGGGGAUCUGCCUGAUGGAGGGGGAUAACUACUGGAAACGGUAGCUAAUACCGCAUAAUGUCGCAAGACCAAAGCGGGGGACUUUCGGGCCUCGCACCAUCAGAUGAACCCAGAUGGGAUUAGUUAGUAGGUAGGGUAAUGGCUUACCUAGGCGACGAUCCCUAGCUGGUCUGAGAGGAUGACCAGCCACACUGGAACUGAGACACGGUCCAGACUCCUACGGGAGGCAGCAGUGGGGAAUAUUGCACAAUGGGCGCAAGCCUGAUGCAGCCAUGCCGCGUGUAUGAAGAAGGCCUUCGGGUUGUAAAGUACUUUCAGUCAGGAGGAAGGGUGUGAAAUUAAUACUUUCAUGCAUUGACGUUACUGACAGAAGAAGCACCGGCUAACUCCGUGCCAGCAGCCGCGGUAA